rnacentral:tRNA from 2 species
UCCGAAUUGGUCUAGCGGUUAGGAUGCCUGUCUCUCACGCAUGUGCACAGGCGGCCGGGGUUCGACUCCCCGAUUCGGAA